CAAGACGUAGCUUUAAAGAAAGCAUUCAGCUUACACCUGAAAGAUGUCUGAUAAUACCAGAUCGUCUUGA
rnacentral:tRNA from 2 species